GUCCUUACUGUGUUUAACAUCAGACAUACAGUCAGAGGCUGAAGACCCUAUCAGAAGGAAAAAAAGGCCAAACUCACGCUACCUGCAGGAGCCAGCUGGAAGAGCCCAGACCACUAGGGGCCCGCCGCAACACUAUUUUGAAGGUGUGGACACUGAUGACGAGGCACCACCCCC